CAACAAUAAAUCUAAUAUUCAGUCAAAAUUGUUCUACAAAUUAUACAUGUAAUGUGUUUGUAUGGCUUCAGUAACAUUGUAUUAAAGUUCUGUUUUUAUCACGGUUUCUAAGAGUUUCCCAUUGUUUUUUUUUGUAGAACUAAAUGCGUGCCAUGUGAUGUACAGUGGCCAUGACAGUGUUUAAGUUCUUCUCAGAGACAUCUGUUUUUCU